rnacentral:rRNA from 1 species
UGGGGAAUUUUGCGCAAUGGACGAAAGUCUGACGCAGCGACGCCGCGUGAGUGAAGAAGGCCUUCGGGUUGUAAAGCUCUGUCACUAUGAGACGAAAACCUAUUAGGUGAAUAGCCUAGUAGACUGACGGUAUCAUGGGAGAAAGCACCGGCUAACUCUGUGCCAGCAGCCGCGGUAAUACAGAGGGUGCAAGCGUUGCUCGGAAUUAUUGGGCGUAAAGGGCAGGUAGGUGGUCUUAUUUGUCUGGGGUGAAAUCCUUGGGCUCAACCCAAGAAGUGCCUCGGAAACGGUAAGACUAGAGUACUGGAGAGGGUCGUAGAAUUCCCGGUGUAGCGGUGAAAUGCGUAGAGAUCGGGAGGAAUACCAGAGGCGAAAGCGGCGACCUGGACAGUGACUGACACUCAACUGCGAAAGCGUGGGGAGCAAACAGG